rnacentral:rRNA from 1 species
GGUUAAGCGACUAAGCGUACACGGUGGAUGCCCUGGCAGUCAGAGGCGAUGAAGGACGUGCUAAUCUGCGAUAAGCGUCGGUAAGGUGAUAUGAACCGUUAUAACCGGCGAUUUCCGAAUGGGGAAACCCAGUGUGUUUCGACACACUAUCAUUAACUGAAUCCAUAGGUUAAUGAGGCGAACCGGGGGAACUGAAACAUCUAAGUACCCCGAGGAAAAGAAAUCAACCGAGAUUCCCCCAGUAGCGGCGAGCGAACGGGGAGCAGCCCAGAGCCUGAAUCAGUGUGUGUGUUAGUGGAAGCGUCUGGAAAGGCGUGCGAUACAGGGUGACAGCCCCGUACACAAAAAUGCACAUAUUGUGAGCUCGAUGAGUAGGGCGGGACACGUGGUAUCCUGUCUGAAUAUGGGGGGACCAUCCUCCAAGGCUAAAUACUCCUGACUGACCGAUAGUGAACCAGUACCGUGAGGGAAAGGCGAAAAGAACCCCGGCGAGGGGAGUGAAAAAGAACCUGAAACCGUGUACGUACAAGCAGUGGGAGCACGCUUAGGCGUGUGACUGCGUACCUUUUGUAUAAUGGGUCAGCGACUUAUAUUCUGUAGCAAGGUUAACCGAAUAGGGGAGCCGAAGGGAAACCGAGUCUUAACUGGGCGUUAAGUUGCAGGGUAUAGACCCGAAACCCGGUGAUCUAGCCAUGGGCAGGUUGAAGGUUGGGUAACACUAACUGGAGGACCGAACCGACUAAUGUUGAAAAAUUAGCGGAUGACUUGUGGCUGGGGGUGAAAGGCCAAUCAAACCGGGAGAUAGCUGGUUCUCCCCGAAAGCUAUUUAGGUAGCGCCUCGUGAAUUCAUCUCCGGGGGUAGAGCACUGUUUCGGCAAGGGGGUCAUCCCGACUUACCAACCCGAUGCAAACUGCGAAUACCGGAGAAUGUUAUCACGGGAGACACACGGCGGGUGCUAACGUCCGUCGUGAAGAGGGAAACAACCCAGACCGCCAGCUAAGGUCCCAAAGUCAUGGUUAAGUGGGAAACGAUGUGGGAAGGCCCAGACAGCCAGGAUGUUGGCUUAGAAGCAGCCAUCAUUUAAAGAAAGCGUAAUAGCUCACUGGUCGAGUCGGCCUGCGCGGAAGAUGUAACGGGGCUAAACCAUGCACCGAAGCUGCGGCAGCGACGCUUAUGCGUUGUUGGGUAGGGGAGCGUUCUGUAAGCCUGUGAAGGUGUGCUGUGAGGCAUGCUGGAGGUAUCAGAAGUGCGAAUGCUGACAUAAGUAACGAUAAAGCGGGUGAAAAGCCCGCUCGCCGGAAGACCAAGGGUUCCUGUCCAACGUUAAUCGGGGCAGGGUGAGUCGACCCCUAAGGCGAGGCCGAAAGGCGUAGUCGAUGGGAAACAGGUUAAUAUUCCUGUACUUGGUGUUACUGCGAAGGGGGGACGGAGAAGGCUAUGUUGGCCGGGCGACGGUUGUCCCGGUUUAAGCGUGUAGGCUGGUUUUCCAGGCAAAUCCGGAAAAUCAAGGCUGAGGCGUGAUGACGAGGCACUACGGUGCUGAAGCAACAAAUGCCCUGCUUCCAGGAAAAGCCUCUAAGCAUCAGGUAACAUCAAAUCGUACCCCAAACCGACACAGGUGGUCAGGUAGAGAAUACCAAGGCGCUUGAGAGAACUCGGGUGAAGGAACUAGGCAAAAUGGUGCCGUAACUUCGGGAGAAGGCACGCUGAUAUGUAGGUGAAGUCCCUUGCGGAUGGAGCUGAAAUCAGUCGAAGAUACCAGCUGGCUGCAACUGUUUAUUAAAAACACAGCACUGUGCAAACACGAAAGUGGACGUAUACGGUGUGACGCCUGCCCGGUGCCGGAAGGUUAAUUGAUGGGGUCAGCGCAAGCGAAGCUCUUGAUCGAAGCCCCGGUAAACGGCGGCCGUAACUAUAACGGUCCUAAGGUAGCGAAAUUCCUUGUCGGGUAAGUUCCGACCUGCACGAAUGGCGUAAUGAUGGCCAGGCUGUCUCCACCCGAGACUCAGUGAAAUUGAACUCGCUGUGAAGAUGCAGUGUACCCGCGGCAAGACGGAAAGACCCCGUGAACCUUUACUAUAGCUUGACACUGAACAUUGAGCCUUGAUGUGUAGGAUAGGUGGGAGGCUUUGAAGUGUGGACGCCAGUCUGCAUGGAGCCGACCUUGAAAUACCACCCUUUAAUGUUUGAUGUUCUAACGUGGACCCGUGAUCCGGGUUGCGGACAGUGUCUGGUGGGUAGUUUGACUGGGGCGGUCUCCUCCUAAAGAGUAACGGAGGAGCACGAAGGUUGGCUAAUCCUGGUCGGACAUCAGGAGGUUAGUGCAAUGGCAUAAGCCAGCUUGACUGCGAGCGUGACGGCGCGAGCAGGUGCGAAAGCAGGUCAUAGUGAUCCGGUGGUUCUGAAUGGAAGGGCCAUCGCUCAACGGAUAAAAGGUACUCCGGGGAUAACAGGCUGAUACCGCCCAAGAGUUCAUAUCGACGGCGGUGUUUGGCACCUCGAUGUCGGCUCAUCACAUCCUGGGGCUGAAGUAGGUCCCAAGGGUAUGGCUGUUCGCCAUUUAAAGUGGUACGCGAGCUGGGUUUAGAACGUCGUGAGACAGUUCGGUCCCUAUCUGCCGUGGGCGCUGGAGAACUGAGGGGGGCUGCUCCUAGUACGAGAGGACCGGAGUGGACGCAUCACUGGUGUUCGGGUUGUCAUGCCAAUGGCACUGCCCGGUAGCUAAAUGCGGAAGAGAUAAGUGCUGAAAGCAUCUAAGCACGAAACUUGCCCCGAGAUGAGUUCUCCCUGACUCCUUGAGAGUCCUGAAGGAACGUUGAAGACGACGACGUUGAUAGGCCGGGUGUGUAAGCGCAGCGAUGCGUUGAGCUAACCGGUACUAAUGAACCGUGAGGCUUAACCUU